GCGCUAACCACUGCGCCACCGCUCUGACACAACUCACACACAACUCACACGCACAGCACACGCGCGCACAGCCGACUCGCACACUCACAAUAACACCGCACACCGCCCCGCCCCGCCGCUUAUAAACGCGAAGCGCUCCACUUGCAACCUUCAUCAGUGAGCAGCGAGCGAGCGAGAGCGGAGAGGAGUGAGCGGAGGGAGAGCGGAGUGAGGCACUGGAGAUCAGAGGAGGAUGCAACGCUCCUGUCGGUCUCACGGGCGCAUAGCUGGCGCAAGGGAGCAGCGGAGUCGAGACGACGCUGACGGACAGGUGGCAGCGGCACCGUGGGCGACCAGGGCGGGGAAGUAUGGUCAAGCAGCCUGAAGCUCCUUCAGCUCUUGAAGAACCGUUGCCCGAUCUUCGCUGCGAGAGUGUCGCCCCUUGAACGUCCAAGCUGCACUUUCCGCUCGGCCGGCCUGCAGCGUCGCUCGGCCGUCGUCGUCUGCCUCGCUCAGCGGCCCAGCUGUUUGGCACCCCCCUUUCUUUUUUGUCGCCGACCUUCUUGCCGAGAGCCGACGGCCUCGCCUUCCGGAGGGAUUUCCGCGCGUGGCCCCACGCGGUCCCUCGGCGGGUCACGUUCGCCGCGGCCGUUCUGAAGCGUCCGAACGUUUGGCGAACCUCUCCCGUGUGCGCUCGGGCACAUUUCUCCGCGGCGAAUCGGCAGGAGAUAAACCGACGGGCGAGGACACCGACAGAACCAAGUCGGGCUCCCCAGAAGCGUGACCUGGCUGGCCUGCGGAGUACAAAUGAUGCUCCUGUAGGCAUCGGUUGAGCCAUCUGGGCCAUGCGCUCUGCCGCCCUCCUGGUUCUCUGUCUGCUGAUGGCUGAGUGGGACGCGCCUCGGGCCGAGCGGUGCCUUCUGGGCGAGGGAGGCAACGGGCCGGACGAGGACGGAUCGCCGCCCCGUCGUGCACCAGUCCGUCCUCGUGCGGGCGCCACGCUUCCACGACUCCGGUGCGAGCGCGCGCCUGCACGUGCGCGCGUUCGGCCGCGAGAUGACGCUUCGUCUGCGCCGUGAGACGGACUUCCUGGCGCCGGGCUUCCGCGUGGAGACGGCUCCUGGUCGACCCGGCGAUCGGCCCAGGCUGCGGCUCCGAGGCGCGGAGCGCUGGCUGACAAGGUGCUUCUACUCCGGGGCGGUGGUGGCGACGCGGCCCGGGAACGGGAGUUACUCUUCGUCGCCUUCCCCUGAAGCGCGCGACGCCUCCUCUCGGAAGGAUUACCUCUCGUUGGCACGGGAUUACGUUUCUCGUUGGUUCGACUACCUCUUGCCCGGCUCGCCAUCCACCGACUCUGCUUCGUCCGACGAACGGGACCGCUUUGAUCCGCCGCCGCCGCCGCCCUCUUCUUCUGCCGCGCUCAGCCUGUGCGGAGGGAUGCUGGGCGCGUUCCGCGUCGGGGACGAGGAUUUCACCAUCAAGCCACGGUACCGCCUCGCCGGCAGGAGGACGCGCCGACGGCGGAGCGACGCGGCGUGGCCGGCCGCCAGCCGGACCGAGCGCGAACACGUGGUGACGCGCGUCGUCGCCGGCGGCGCCGCCGCGGGGAAGCCAUCCGCCGGCCGUCGCGCGCGACGCUCGGCGCCCGGCCGGAACGGCCCCAAGGACGAGGGCGGCGACGGGGAGGGCGUGAACUGGGCCGAGGUGCGCACGCGCCGCCUGGACGCGCUGCUCGUGUGCGACGCGGGGGUGGCGCGAGCGCACCGCGGCGACGCGCACGAGGUGGCGCACUAUGUGCUGGCGCUGGCGCACGCGGCCCGCGCGCUCCUGGCCCACGCCACCACCCGCCAGCGCGUGCACCUCGCCGUCUCGCGCGUCCUCGUGCUGGAGGAGGGCGACGAGUUCCGCGGCCGCGGCGGGGAGGAGGCGGCGGUGCCGCCGCGGAGUCGCGGGGGGGGGUCGUCGUCCCCGCGGCCCGAGGAAGCCGAAGGAGGCCACAUCGAAGUCGCCGCAGGUCGCGAGAAGGAAGCCGCGGGUCACUGGGAGGUCGCGAGAACUCGUAAGGGAGUCAUUGGAAGUCACGUGGCGGACGAUCGCUCGCCGAGAGGCGGCAAGGUCGCUCCUGCGAGACCCGGUCUGCCGGUGGACCGCGGAAUGACCGUGAAGGGAAAAACCUCGGGUGAUCUUGCCAUGGACAGGAGGUUGCCGACUGGUGGCACCCUGAGCGACCACAAGAAACCUCGAGUGGUCAGUGCGGCUGCUGGAGACAGCAGCCAUCGGGGAGUUGAGCACGUGGCAGAGAGUGAUAGGUUGGCACGUGCCAGUUUGGGUGGCGAUCCAUCUGAUGGAUACGCGAAGGCGAGCAGUGAGCAGGACGGCAAGGUCCAAUCGAGGGGUAGAAGUUUGGCAGAUGGUGCGACUGUGCUCGGUGAAAGGGGCUCACUGCACAGGAACGGCCCACACACAGACGGGAGCUCAGAGACCACUCGGGGCUCACGUGGCACAGGAUAUGUUGAGGACUCGCCCACAAAUGGACGGCUGUUCAAUAGCAAAGCAGCAAUGGGGGGGAACUCGUCUCCAGACGUUCAGGCGUGGCUACAUUACAAGCACGCGCAACGGACUCCGGCCACCGCGAGGGCGAACUUGGAAGGAGACGGCGUGCGGCACAGAAAUGCGUCGAGCGAAUCUCCCAGGGACGGGGGACAACCGGUGACAGCCACGAGCGACAACUCUACAGUGGGAAGUAAAGGGGCGAACAAAUAUUUAGCGAACGGUAAUUCACGCGGUACAUCUCCAACGGUGGUAAAAUUGGCAAAGCGUAAUGAAACUGGCGGCGUGUCAAUGGAGAGUUUUAAAACUGAGGGCAACUUUCCAAUCAAGGGUAAGUCAUCACUAGAUGGUAAAUCAUCAUUAGAUGGUUUAUCAGAUGGUAAUCCAUCAACAGAUAGUAUCUCAGAUGGUAUUUCUUCAAUAGAUGGUAAAUUGCUAUUGCUUAGUAAAUCUGAAGAUAAAUCAAUGGAUAUAAAAGGCUAUGGCCAACCACCAGUGAAUAGUAGCGUGUCAGUUCACAGUAAACCUUCGGCGAGUGGCGAAGUAAACGGCACCUCUGCAGCAGGCAGCAAAUCGGAUGAUUUGCCCUCCGUACUGAUAGCUGGGAAAUUGUUAAUUCACGAGCAAUCAAAUGAAAAGUCAGUAGAUAGCAAAUCUGCAAUGGGUGGUAAAUCUGAGUGUAAAUCACACGCGAAGGGACAUUUGGAAGACACACAACAAAAAGAUGGAACAUUUGGUAGCACUAUCACCACGGCAUGGUAAAUCAGAUGUUAAAUCCCAAAAAGAGGGUGAUCUAUGGGUUAAGACGGACCAGGAACUGCCAAAAGAUGGAAAUGUACAUGGACAACUGCUAUUUGGUGGACAAACCUUACAAUAAAUCUCAACUGGGCGAUAACUCCGAAGGUAAACCUAUUGCCGAUUUGUCACUGGACGGUAAAGAGUGAAGGUGAACCAGGGUGUUUGUCACUGCUGGGCAAGACAUCAAAUUGUGAGUUGCGAGUGGGCGCCAAAUCGGUCGCUGGGCCGCGUCCCGACAGUGAAGCAGGCGGCAAAUCCGACGGUGAAUCGAGCACAAAACUGUCGGCUUUGCUCAAAGCAGAUGGUAAAUUUGACAAUAAAUCAACUGGCACGUCAGACGGAAAGCCACAGCCUUUGUUGAAAUUUGCCGGCAAAACAGAUGGUAAAGCAGAUGGAAAGUUGGAGGGUAAACCACCGCCUGUUGGUAAAUCGGAUGGUAAAAUCAAUGGCAGACUGUCAGCUAAUUGUAAAGCAGAUGGGAAUUCAGAGUGCAGAUCGGACAGUAAAAUUCCACCUUCAAUUGUACCGGAUAAGCAAGUGCAUGGCCAAGCGGAGAGUAAGCCUCCACCUAAGGGUGAGCCAGGUGUUAAAACCGGCGGUAAAGUAAUAAAUAAGUGGCCACUGUUUGGUACGUUUGACAGUAAAUCUGAUCGUAAAUUGAAUGAAAAUUCAGAGGGUAAAAUAGACGCUGAAUUUGAUAGGGUACCAAUCAUUAAAUCUUACAACAGAUCUGAAAACAGUAAAUCUGUUCAUACAUUAGACAGCAAAUCAGAUGGUAAAUCUGAUGAUAAAUCAGGCAGUAAAUUAGAUGACAAAUCAGCUGGCAAAUCCGAGAGUAAACCGGAAGGUAAAGUAGCAGCUAAAUCAGACGUGAAACUUGAAGACAAAUCACAGACUAAAGCGGACGAUAAUGUCAACAGUAGACCACUUCUUGAUAAAUCAGCCGGUAAAACAGAGCGUAAAUUAAACAGUACACUCACACCGUUUGGUUCGUCUGCCGGUAUAGUGCACAACAACUCGGGAAGCGCUAAAUCCGAUGAUAGCAAAGCGGACGAUAAAUCGGGCAGUAAAGUUGCCUCCAAGCCAGACCACGAACCGCAUGGUAAACCGGACGGCAACGCUCCUGCUGAUAAAUCUUCCGGCAGAACCGAGCGCAGAGUGACGAGCACAGCGACUCCGUCCGUCAAAUCGGACCGUAAAUCCGAAUCGCACGACAAACCGCACGGCGGCAAAUCUGGCGACGGAAAACCGGGCGAGAAGCACGACGGGGCCAAUGGAACGUCCCCCCACGCCGGCAGGGGCCGGAGCGAGCCGGCGGCCAACGACACGGGGGGCCGCGUGGCCCCCGCGCCGCUGGCGGCGGCCCCCGCGGUGCCCGCGACACGCGGCGACGCCGCCGCCAUGCUCAGGAGCUUCUGCGCGUGGCAGAGGCGCGAGAUGCGAGGCGGCGCCGUUCCCACGCACCACGUGGCCGUGCUGCUCACGCGACAGGAGCUCUGCGGGGCGCACAGUUGCCACACGCUGGGCAUGGCGGACGUGGGCACCGUGUGCGACCCCCAGCGCAGCUGCGCACUCAUCCGGGACCACGGCAUGACGGCCGCCUACACGAUGGCGCACGAGAUCG